AACAACAAAUGCUAUUAUUGCUGGAUUGAUUGUGAUCGAGGCAAUUAAGGUGCUACAGAAUGAUGCAAACAAUUACAGGAUGACAUAUUGCCUUGAACAUCCCUCAAGGAAGAUGCUUCUUAUGCCAGUUGAGCCGUUUGAGCCAAACAAAUCCUGCUAUGUUUGUUCUGAGGUGCAUUUAUGUUCUCUUUGUUCUUGUGGGUGUUUUUUUUUUUUUUUGUUGUUGGUAGUCCAAAUCUGGGUCCGCUACUUCCUGCUAACCUCAGGCUGUAUGUUUGUGAGCAAACGCCCUUGUUGCUUGAGGUUAACACUUCCCAUUCAAAGUUGAGGGAUUUCAUUGAAAAGAUUGUCAAAGUGAAGCUUGGCAGGAGUUUUCCUUUGGUUAUGCAUGGGUCAGCCCUUCUUUAUGAGGUUUGUGAUGAUCUUGAAGAAGACAUGGUGGCCAACUAUGAAGCAAACCUAGAAAAGGUUCUGUCUGAGUAGCCUUCUCCAGUCUUGGGUGGGACCAUUCUCACAGUUGAGGACCUUCAGCAAGAACUGUCCUGCAAUAUCGAUAUUAAGCACAGAGACAACUUCGACGAGGAGAAAGAACCUGAUGGGAUGGUUCUCUCUGGAUGGACAAAAGAAAAGGAUAAGACCACUUCUACUGAAAAUGGUGCGAGCACAUCAAAUGCAUCUGAGGCAGUUUCUCUGGAGACCAAAGAAGAUAGUGAUAUAGAAAUUGUUCCGACAGGAAUUGAGAGCGUUACUACUCGGAAGAAACGAAAGUUGCCUGAAAUGUCUCAUGCUACCAUUCCUGAUUCUUCUAAAGACGAACUGCACGAAAUUGAUGACAAUGACGAUGGCGAUGAUCUGUUCAUGCUUGAUGAUGGCAAUUCAGAUGGCAGCAAGAAGAAGAGGUUGCAAUAGUGUUGCUGGUUCUAACUUUGAUAUGGGCUUAUCACAUUUUCAUUUUGUACCAUUGUUAGAGGGGAAUGGUGAUUCUUUUUGCAACUUCAGGGGAUCUUCAUGGUUAGGUCUAAACCUUUUCGCUUUGAGUAGAUACAUGUAAUUUUUUGCCCCCUUUAACUUUUGUAAUUCAAACUCUAGGUACAAUUUGUAU